rnacentral:misc_RNA from 1 species
UCCGGUUCAUCACCGGCAGUCCCCUUAGAGUCCCCAACUAAAUGAUGGCAACUAAGGGCAAGGGUUGCGCUCGUUACGGGACUUAACCCAACAUCUCACAACACGAGCUGACGACAGCCAUGCAGCACCUGUCUUAACGUUCCUUUCGGCACUCCAAUCUCUCAACCGGAUUCGUUAGAUGUCAAGAGUAGGUAAGGUUCUUCGCGUUGCAUCGAAUUAAACCACAUGCUCCACCGCUUGUGCGGGCCCCCGUCAAUUCCUUUGAGUUUCAACCUUGCGGCCGUACUUCCCAGGCGGAAGACUUAUCGCGUUUGCUUCGAUACCGAUUGGUUCCCCAACCAACAUCUAGUCCUCAUCGUUUACGGCGUGGACUAC